rnacentral:tRNA from 2 species
GCGGAAAUAGCUCAGUUGGUAGAGCAUAACUUUGCCAAGGUUAGGGUCGCGAGUUCGAGUCUCGUUUUUCGCUCCA